rnacentral:rRNA from 1 species
AUGGCCAAAAAUAAAAGAAAGCAUGCAACACUGCAUUCUUUUUUUGAGAAGAAAAGAAGAACUGAUGUUCCAGAACAAAUUAUUUUGGUUGAUGCCCCUCCCUUGGUAGAUGAAGAAGAACAAGUGGAUGAACAAGAACAAAUAGAAGAAACUCCAAUAUCAACAACACCACCUCAGGUUAUGAGAGGGAGGGGCAAUGAUGAUUCUGCUAUUUUGGUGGUAGAAAGAGAACCAGGUCUGCGGUGCCAAAUUUCAGAUUAUCCUCCUAACGAUCAAGAAAAAGCUCGAAUGGCAUAUAUAAAGCAUGGGGCAUAUCAUUUUAAAAUGGAUGAGUAUCCUCCCGAUGAGUCGGUGACCCAUCCACGCAAGUUUCAAUAUCAUUGGUUUAAGAGCUUCCCUUGGUUAGAAUAUUCACCGGAUAAAGAUGCAGUCUACUGUUUUCCAUGCUUUUUAUUUUGUAAGAAGCCACUUGGAAAGAAAGGAUCUGAUGUGUUUACAGUGAAAGGAUUCAAAAAAUGGAAGAGAGUUAAUGACGGAGAGAGAUGUGCAUUCUUAACUCACAUGGGAAAGGACAGUAAAUCUGCUCAUAAUUAUGCUGCAAAAUGUUAUGAUAAUCUGAAGAAUAAGCCAUGUCAUCUGGAACCAUUAGUGGUGAAGCAAACAGAUGGGGAUAUCAAAAGGAAUAGGCUGCGUCUUAGAGUAACCCUUGAUUCACUACGGUGGUUAGCAUUCCAAGCUUGCCCCUUCCGAGGACAUGAUGAAAGUCUUGAUUCGAAGAACCAAGGUAAUUUCCUUGAAAUGGUGAAACUGAUAGCUUCUUAUGAUGAGGAAAUUGGUGCUGUAGUGUUGGGUAAUGCUCCAGGCAAUGCGAAGUACACAUCGCCUACAAUUCAAAAAGAACUUCUAGGUAUCAUUGCUUCUAAGGUGCAAAGUGAAAUCCGUAAAGAAAUAGGAGAUGCCAAGUUCUGCUUGCUUGUUGACGAGUCAAGAGAUGAAUCCAAAAGAGAGCAAAUGGCAGUAGUUAUUCGUUUUGUUGAUAAACCUGGUUUCACUCAUGAGCGUUUUCUUGAUAUUGUUCAUGUUGCUGAUACAUCUUCGGCUACUCUAAAAGAAGAGAUAUCAUCUGUUUUGGUUCAACAUCAGUUAGAUGUGAACAAUAUUCGCGGUCAAGGGUACGAUGGUGCUAGUAACAUGCGUGGAGAGUGGAAUGGACUACAAGCAAAGUUCAUGGAGGAGUGUCCUUAUGCAUAUUAUAUCCAUUGUUUUGCUCAUCAGUUGCAGCUAGCUCUUGUUGCUGCAUCAAAAGAAGUAGCUGAUGUUCACAACUUUUUUGAUCAUCUUGCUCUUGUUAUCAAUACGGUUGUGUCUUCUAGUAAGAGACAUGAUGAGUUGCAAGCAAAUCAAGUUGCUGAAAUGGAGCAUUUGAUUGAGCUCGGUGAGCUUGAAACUGGAAGUGGGGCUAAUCAAGUCGGAACUUUACAACGGCCUUGUGAUACUAGGUGGAGUUCACACUAUGCUUCUGUUUGCAGCCUUGUGAAAUUGUACAAACCAACAUUUUUGGUACUUAAAAGCAUUGCAACUGCUAAAGGAUCUGGUACUUCACCUUCCGCACGAGCAAAGGCUUCUGGUGCUGUUAAGUUGAUGAUGUCUUUUGACUUCAUAUUUAUUCUGCAUGUCAUGAAAGAACUUAUGGGAAUCACGGACAUGCUAUGCAAAAAGUUGCAACAAAAGUCUCAAGAUAUUGUGAAUGCCAUGGAUGAUGUUAAGACUACCAAAAUGUUGAUCCAGGAGCUAAGAGAUAAUGGUUGGAACAAGCUUAAAGCUGACGUGCUUUCAUUCUGUACCAAACAUGGAGUUCAAACACCACAUUUCAGUGAGUUAUAUGUGGAUUUCAUUAAUUCUCGUGCGGAGGAUGAGACUACAGUUGAGCACCAUUAUCGCUGUGACAUUUUCAUGGUUGCUGUUGAUCAGCAAGCACAAGAGCUGAAUUGUAGAUUCAACAAACAAGCUACAGAGCUUCUCAUCCUGUGUACUUCCUUGGACCCAAAAGAUUCAUUCCGUUCAUUUAAUAUUGAUAAUAUAUGUUCUCUGGCUUCAAAGUUCUAUCCUGCUGAUUUUAAAAAACAAGAAAUGAAUAAUCUAAGAUGUCAGUUACGACAUUACGAGAAUGUUGUACCCACAAGCCCAAAGUUUCAGAAUUUGACAACUAUAUCAGAACUUUGUCAACGACUUGCAUCUAGUGGAAAAUCAGAUGAAUAUUACUUGAUUGACAGAACGUGCAUUUUCUGCCAUGAAACUUGUGAAGACAAGGCUUCGGAAUAA